UGAAUCAGCCACACUGGGAGUGAGCNCGGCCCAGACUCCUACGGGAGGCAGCAGUGGGGAAUAUUGCACAAUGGGCGCAAGCCUCAUGCAGCCAUGCCGCGUGUGUGAAGAAGGNCAACGGGUUGUAAAGCACUUUCAGUCAGGAGGAAAGGUUAGUACUUAAUACCUGCUAGCUGUGACGUUACUGACAGAAGAA
rnacentral:rRNA from 1 species